rnacentral:rRNA from 1 species
CAGCAGCCGCGGGAAUACGAAGGGUGCAAGCGUUACUCGGAAUUACUGGGCGUAAAGCGUGCGUAGGUGGUGGUUUAAGUCCGUUGUGAAAGCCCUGGGCUCAACCUGGGAAUUGCAGUGGAUACUGGGUCACUAGAGUGUGGUAGAGGAUAGUGGAAUUUCCGGCGUAGCAGUGAAAUGCGUAGAGAUCGGAAGGAACAUCUGUGGCGAAGGCGACUAUCUGGGCCAACACUGACACUGAGGCACGAAAGCGUGGGGAGCAAACAGGAUUAGAUACCCCCGUAGUCCCUGUCUCUUAUAC